UACGAGGGGGGCAAGCGUUGUUCGGAUUUACUGGGCGUAAAGGGCGCGUAGGCGGCUUAACAAGUCACUUGUGAAAUCUCCGGGCUUAACUCGGAACGGCCAAGUGAAACUGUUAUGCUAGAGUGCAGAAGGGGCAAUCGGAAUUCUUGGUGUAGCGGUGAAAUGCGUAGAUAUCAAGAGGAACACCUGAGGUGAAGACGGGUUGCUGGGCUGACACUGACGCUGAUGCGCGAAAGCCAGGGGAGCAAACGGG
rnacentral:rRNA from 1 species